rnacentral:lncRNA from 10 species
UUUUGGAGAAUCUGUGAAGAGACAAUUCAGAGCCUAAGGAGGGCUACGGGGAAAAACAGAAUAUCCCCAAGUAAAAACUAGAAAGAAUGUAUCUGUUAAACUGCUUUGUGAUGUGUGGAUUCAUCUCACAGAGAUAAAACUUCCUUUUGAUUCAGCAAGUUGGAAACUCUCUUUUUGAAGAAUCUGUGAUGGGACAUUUGGGAACCCACUGAGGCCUAAGGAGAAAAGUCAAAUAUCCUCAGGUUAGAAACAGCCUUUUUGGAGAAUCUGCGAAGGGACAUUUGGGAUUCCACUGCAGCC